GUCAUGGUGGUACAGUGGUCAGUGUUGCUGCCUCCAAAAUAGUGAGAUAUGGGUUCAAAUCACAGCUAGGUUGGGGCC